CCUUACGGCCAUACCACCCUGAGCACGCCCGAUCUCGUCUGAUCUCGGAAGCUAAGCAGGGUCGGGCCUGGUUUGUACUUGGAUGGGAGACUGCCUAGGAAUACCAGGUGCUGUAAGCU
rnacentral:rRNA from 1 species